rnacentral:rRNA from 1 species
UACAGAGGUCCCGAGCGUUGUUCGGAUUCACUGGGCGUAAAGGGUGCGUAGGUGGUGAGGUAAGUCGGAUGUGAAAUCUCCGAGCUCAACUCGGAAAUGGCAUUGGAAACUACCUUGCUUGAGGGUUGGAGGGGGGACUGGAAUACUUGGUGUAGCAGUGAAAUGCGUAGAUAUCAAGUGGAACACCAGUGGCGAAGGCGAGUCCCUGGACAACUCCUGACACUGAGGCACGAAAGCUAGGGGGAGCAAACAGG